rnacentral:rRNA from 1 species
ACCUCGCCUGUUUAUCAAAAACAUCUCUCUCAGACAUAGCUGAUUGAGGGUAGGCCCUGCCCGGUGGAAAUUAACUCUAAACGGAAAGGUUAUUUUAAAGUAGCGUAACAAUUUGUCCCUUAAUUAGGGUCUGUAUGAAUGGGUUGACGUGGAGUGGCUGUCUUGAAAGAACUUUAUUGAAAUUUUCUUUUUGGUGAAAAGUCUAAGAUAUUAUUAAAAGACGAGAAGACCCCGUCGAGCUUGGUAGGGGGCUAUUCGUGUGUGUUUUCUUUGAUUUUUAUUGGGGCAAUAAGGGAGAAUAAAAACCUCCAUUAGGUCUAUAGAUCCACUGGUAGUGAUAAAAAGAAAAAGCUACCGCGGGGAUAACAGCGCAAGAUGGCCUAAGAGUCCGUAUUUAAGGCUGUAGAUGCGACCUCGAUGUUGGAUUAAGAUAGCUUAAGGGUGCAGCCGCUUUUAAAGCAGGACUGUUCGUCCUUCAAAUUCUUACAUGAUCUGAGUUCAAAACCGGAG